UAUAUUUCAUAUGCUGAAAAUGUUAUUUCUAACCAAUUGAAUGUUGCCUUUUCCAAGCCUACCUUCAGCCUACACCUCCCCCAUUAUAAGCCUGUAAAAACCCCAGAUUCAGCCAUACAGGGGGACUAUCUGCCUUUAGGUAUGAACUGCCCAGCUCAGGUUGCCUCUGUGCUGAAAGCUGUUCUGUCAUUCAAUAAAACUGCUCUAUGCUUUGCUCACUCUUCAGUUGUCCACAAAAUGUCGUUCUUCUUGGAUACAGGACAAGGGAACCAGUGGGUGUGAAACGAGCUGCAACACUGUAGCCCUUCUGCCCUCUGCUGGUGUCUGGUGACCACCUUACACAACAGGAAGCAGUGGCAGAACUGGACCAGUCCAGGAGUAGUGAGUCGGAGCAGUGCAAUGGGACCAAACAAGCU
rnacentral:lncRNA from 1 species